GUUUCGUGCAUUUAUUCGAGUAUGGUUCACAGAAUGACUAAUUGAUGUUUGUAAAUUGUUUAAUUAAUUGUUUAAUGUAUAAAUAUUUAUCUAAUCAUGGUUAACAGUGUAUACAGUGGCAUGGCUAACUCAAAAUUUUUGAGGCAAAUGUUUUGAUGGAAAACCCACCCCAAUUAUUACCAAGGGCGCCCACACGGGGAGCAAGAUGGACCAUUGUGACCAUAUUUAUGUUAAAUGUUUGUGUUCUAAGUUGCAUUAUCAGUUCAUCUAAUAAAGAG